rnacentral:rRNA from 1 species
CAGUUCGGACUGUAGUCUGCAACCCGACUACACGAAGCUGGAAUCGCUAGUAAUCGCGAAUCAGAAUGUCGCGGUGAAUACGUUCCCGGGCCUUGUACACACCGCCCGUCACACCAUGAGAGUUGGCAAUACCCAACGUACGUGAUCUAACCCGCAAGGGAGGAAGCGUCCUAAGGUAGGGUCAGCGAUUGGGGUGAAGUCGUAACAAGGUAUC